CCUACGGGUGGCUGCAGUGGGGAAUAUUGCACAAUGGGCGGAAGCCUGAUGCAGCCAUGCCGCGUGUGUGAAGAAGGCCUUCGGGUUGUAAAGCACUUUCAGUAGGGAGGAAGGGUUGCUGGCUAAUAUCCAGCAACAUUGACGUUACCUACAGAAGAAGCACCGGCUAACUCCGUGCCAGCAGCCGCGGUAAUACGGAGGGUGCGAGCGUUAAUCGGAAUUACUGGGCGUAAAGCGCGCGUAGGCGGUCAUUUAAGCUAGAUGUGAAAUCCCCGGGCUUAACCUGGGAAUUGCAUUUAGAACUGGAUGGCUAGAGUACAGAAGAGGGGUGUGGAAUUUCCGGUGUAGCGGUGAAAUGCGUAGAGAUCGGAAGGAACAUCAGUGGCGAAGGCGACACCCUGGUCUGAUACUGACGCUCAGGUGCGAAAGCGUGGGGAGCA
rnacentral:rRNA from 1 species